CCUGAGGACAGGAACCACAUCGGUUUUGUUCACCACUGUAUCCCCAGUGUAGAGGAGAGGACCAGGCACAAAGAUGCAAUUUGGGUGCGCGAUUGCAUCUGAGACCCAGAAUCCGAGAUGUAGGCAGAGAGGAGAACUUCGACUGGAAAACUGGAGCCCCAGCUCUAGGGAGGUACAUUUAUGCAAACCGGC